ensembl:lncRNA
CGUGGCGUCUCUAACCCACAGAGAAAAGUGAGUCCACGUGUGCGCGCCUGACCGUCCCCCUGUCACGGCCCCUGGGAGACACAGACUGUACUCACAGCUGGGGAAAACAUCAGACAGGUGUGUGUGUGUGUGUGUGUAGAGCCACGUUGGAGUCCGCAGCGAGUGCGCACACAGUAACUGUUACAUAAAGCUCCGCUGCAGCGCGUCCUUAUCUAUCGACAUCGUCGAGAUUAAUUGAAGUUUUACCAGAAAGCUGCAACACGCCUCGUCGUUGGAGGUGUAAAGCUGGGAGGAGAUCUUUGGAGGGGAGAGUGAGCUGCCAAAGGCUUCUGGCAGAUGCGCUGCAGACUUCCGCCUCGUUUCAACCGGCUCCAACCGCAUGAUUUGCUGCAGUGGGACAGCUCACAUCACUCAAAUAUGUAUAAAUACUCACUGGCUCUUGUACAUAAAAACAUGUUACCACAUCAAUUACAUCCAUUUAAUGAACCAUAAAACACUCUUCUUUGGCCUUAGGUCAAACAACAACUCUUCCACACGAAGGUUUGUCCCCAUCUUCUCCUUUCUUACUGUUUUUACGAGAGAAACUUUAUGAAAAGACGUAAUAAGAUGCAGCCUGUGAUUGGAAGCAUUUUUAAAAAUUUCCUGGCAGAAACUAAACACUCGAGCACAGCUGAUUGGUUGUUGUUUGGCCAGUGAGGUAAACAUUCCCACCAGCGCAGCAGCUUUUACAUUUCCAUGUUUCAGGACUGAAACACCACGGUGUUGGGUCUGAGUCAGAGGGUUACAAAUCAAAACCGAACGUUGUUGGGGGAGAAUUUGUUGCGCUGCAAAUUGUUAAUGUCUCCAAACGUGUUGGAAGAAGAUGCCACAGCUAGAUGGACCUUGUUGAGUUAAGUGAACACACACAAUCAGCCAGAAUGCAAAGCGACAUCAAUGUAACGUAGUUACUUAAUAUGUUUAUUUUCCUUUUUUCUUUCAGAUUGUUCUUUAAUGUACUGUGGUGCUCUGGUGAUAAGUAAUAAGUUGAUGUACUUGACCGAAAAUGUAGUUGUGUUUGUGAUUUUUAAAGCUGAAAUAGGGUAUUUUCAGGUUGUCAGCUUGUAUGGGGUUGUAGAUCAUAAUGUUGAUUUCAGUUUGCUGUCUUUGCAGAUCAUGUUGAUCAAAACAUUCCUGUCAUCCAGCACCAACCAAGAUCUUUGCCACUGUGAUAAGAUGUGAGCUUUACAUGUUUUAAGUUUACUUUUGAUGCCAAUAUUUCAUGUUUACUUGGAAUAAAUAUGUAUUACAGUAUGGAUACAAUUGUCUGUGUUUUUCCCCCUGCAUAGAUAUGCAACACUGGUAGGAGUUGGUUAAAAUCAACACUCUUUGGAGUGAUUUCAUAAUCAACAUAGUGUAAAGUAGGUUUAACACUGGAAAGGUUAUUUCUUU